rnacentral:rRNA from 1 species
UACGAAGGGGGCUAGCGUUGUUCGGAUUUACUGGGCGUAAAGCGCACGUAGGCGGAUCGUUAAGUCGGGGGUGAAAUCCUGGAGCUCAACUCCAGAACUGCCUUCGAUACUGGCGAUCUUGAGUCCGGAAGAGGUGAGUGGAACUCCUAGUGUAGAGGUGGAAUUCGUAGAUAUUAGGAAGAACACCAGUGGCGAAGGCGGCUCACUGGUCCGGUACUGACGCUGAGGUGCGAAAGCGGUGGGGAGCAAACAGG